AUUGAACGCUGGCGGCAGGCCUAACACAUGCAAGUCGAACGAAGGCCCUAGCUUGCUAGGUGUCCUUAGUGGCGGACGGGUGAGUAACGCGUGGGGAUUUGGCCCUAGAGUGGGGAACAACUUUUGGAAACGAAAGCUAAUACCGCAUACGCCCUUUUGGGGAAAGGCUUCGGCCGCUCUUGGAUGAUCCCGCGUCUGAUUAGCUUGUUGGUGAGGUAACGGCUCACCAAGGCUACGAUCAGUAGCUGGUUUGAGAGGAUGAUCAGCCACACUGGGACUGAGACACGGCCCAG
rnacentral:rRNA from 1 species